rnacentral:rRNA from 1 species
UACGUAGGGACCAAGCGUUGUUCGGAUUUACUGGGCGUAAAGGGCGCGUAGGCGGCUUAACAAGUCACUUGUGAAAUCUCCGGGCUUAACUCGGAACGGCCAAGUGAAACUGUCAAGCUAGAGUGCGGAAGGGGCAAUCGGAAUUCUUGGUGUAGCGGUGAAAUGCGUAGAUAUCAGGAGGAAUACCUAUGGCGAAAGCAGGUAUCUGGGCCAUCACUGACGCUGAGCUGCGAAAGCUAGGGGAGCAAACAGG